rnacentral:snRNA from 1 species
AGCUUUGCGUAGUGGCAGUAUCAUAGCCAAUGAGGUUUAUCCGAGGCGCAAUUAUUGCUAAUCAAAAGUCCCUUCCAAGUAUCUGGCUUGAUCUUCCAAUAUUUUUAUUUUUAAAAUAGUCAAACCCCCAGAAAUCUGAAAGAAU